rnacentral:rRNA from 1 species
UCAGCCACACUGGAACUGAGACACGGUCCAGACUCCUACGGGAGGCAGCAGUGGGGAAUAUUGCACAAUGGGCGCAAGCCUGAUGCAGCCAUGCCGCGUGUGUGAAGAAGGCCUUCGGGUUGUAAAGCACUUUCAGUCGUGAGGAAGGUAGUGUAGUUAAUAGCUGCAUUAUUUGACGUUAGCGACAGAAGAAGCACCGGCUAACUCCGUGCCAGCAGCCGCGGUAAUACGGAGGGUGCGAGCGUUAAUCGGAAUUACUGGGCGUAAAGCGCAUGCAGGUGGUUUGUUAAGUCAGAUGUGAAAGCCCGGGGCUCAACCUCGGAAUAGCAUUUGAAACUGGCAGACUAGAGUACUGUANAGGGGGGUAGAAUUUCANGUGUAGCGGUGAAAUGCGUANNNNUCUGAAGGAAUACCGGUGGCGAAGGCGGCCCCCUGGACAGAUACUGACACUCAGAUGCGAAAGCGUGGGGAGCAAACAGGAUUAGAUACCCUGGUAGUCCACGCCGUAAACGAUGUCUACUUGGAGGUUGUGGCCUUGAGCCGUGGCUUUCGGAGCUAACGCGUUAAGUAGACCGCCUGGGGAGUACGGUCGCAAGAUUAAAACUCAAAUGAAUUGACGGGGGCCCGCACAAGCGGUGGAGCAUGUGGUUUAAUUCGAUGCAACGCGAAGAACCUUACCUACUCUUGACAUCCAGAGAACUUUCCAGAGAUGGAUUGGUGCCUUCGGGAACUCUGAGACAGGUGCUGCAUGGCUGUCGUCAGCUCGUGUUGUGAAAUGUUGGGUUAAGUCCCGCAACGAGCGCAACCCUUAUCCUUGUUUGCCAGCGAGUAAUGUCGGGAACUCCAGGGAGACUGCCGGUGAUAAACCGGAGGAAGGUGGGGACGACGUCAAGUCAUCAUGGCCCUUACGAGUAGGGCUACACACGUGCUACAAUGGCGCAUACAGAGGGCAGCCAACUUGCGAGAGUGAGCGAAUCCCAAAAAGUGCGUCGUAGUCCGGAUCGGAGUCUGCAACUCGACUCCGUGAAGUCGGAAUCGCUAGUAAUCGUGGAUCAGAAUGCCACGGUGAAUACGUUCCCGGGCCUUGUACACACCGCCCGUCACACCAUGGGAGUGGGCUGCAAAAGAAGUAGGUAGUUUAACCUUCG